rnacentral:rRNA from 2 species
AGCAUAGCGAUUUGGGAUAAGUCCCUUGGAAAAGGGCAGCAUGGAGGGUGAUACUCCCGUCUCUGCUCGGAUUGUCUGUGUGUACGAUACGCUUUCUUUGAGUCGAGUUGUUUGGGAAUACAGCUCAAAGUAGGUGGUAAAUUCCAUCUAAAGCUAAAUAUUGGUGCGAGACCGAUAGCGAACAAGUACCGUGAGGGAAAGAUGAAAAGAACUUUGAAAAGAGAGUUAAAGAGUACCUGAAACUGUUGAAAGGGAACCGUAUCGUUUCCAGUGUUUUAUCCUGUGCAUAUUUCAUUAGCGGAGCAAUUUGCUGGUGCCCUGUGCAUGGGUGUGACGUCAGAGUCAGUUUGUAUGCUGCGGGAGAUGGUCAGUGAGGAGGUGCGUCACUUCGGUGGAAGUUAUAUCUCGCUGUCUAGUAGCCGUGGUUGAGACUGAGGUGCC